rnacentral:rRNA from 1 species
CUUUCGCUCCCCUGGCUUUCGUCCAUGAGCGUCAGUAAUGGCCCAGCAGAGCGCCUUCGCCACUGGUGUUCUUCCCGAUAUCUACGCAUUUCACCGCUACACCGGGAAUUCCCUCUGCCCCUACCAUACUCAAGCCGAUCAGUUUCCACUGCCAUAAUGGAGUUAAGCUCCACGCUUUAACAGCAGACUUGAAAGGCCGCCUGCGGACGCUUUACGCCCAAUAAUUCCGGAUAACGCUUGCCACUCCCGUAUUACCGCGGCUGCUGGCACGGAAUUAGCCGUGGCUUAUUCCUCAAGUACCGUCAUAUCUUCUUCCUUGAGAAAAGAGGUUUACAGCCCAGAGGCCUUCGUCCCUCACGCGGCGUUGCUCCGUCAGGCUUUCG